rnacentral:rRNA from 1 species
AGCUCCACUAGCGUAUAUUAAAGUUGUUGCAGUUAAAAAGCUCGUAGUUGAACUUCUGGUUGUUGCUUGAGUCGGGUAUUUAUAUCGCUUUAGUGAUAAUCAUCCGUCUUGCCAAACUUUUACAUCCUUCAUUGUGUUGUUUAAAGGGGAGCAGACAUUUUACUUUGAAAAAAUUAUGGUGUUUAAGGCAGGCGCAAGCC